CAGCAUGUGACAGUUUCAUGAGACAUGAGGGCCCAGCUUACUUUCCUGAGCCUGGAUGACCGCAAGUACUGUGAGACUGACCCCAGCUCCUCCCAGGAAUGCCCUGAAGUUGUGAGGCAGCCAAGGCAAGGAAAUGAACUCUAAGCAAUCAACGUGCAACAUGUGACUUCCAGCAACUGUCAGCACAGUCCUGUGGAAAGGAAACCAAGCAGCACAGCACGAUAAGGAAACUGACACGUGAAAGGAAACUCGACACAUUCUGUGGUAUGGGGAAACAAGUACUGGGAGCUGAAUGAUUGAAGCCUGGGUCAAUGCCCAAACCAGGAAAAGAAACCAGAGCUCCUGACUCCCUGAUCUGUGCUGGAAUAAAACUUAUCACUUAUUUGCAUAACCGUUGGAAGCUAACAUUAAUUAAUGAUUCUACCACCAGGCCACAGCCCCUUCUAACCACGCUAUUUUCUCUGGACUUUUUCUAUUAAAACUUAAUGCAGAUUUCCAAUCAACAGACAUUUCCUACGGCUUGCCAACAUGCAUUGUAAUGUGGCCACUGAUGUUAGAUACAAGCUCACUGAACCUUCUCUGGAAUAAACCUCCAGAUCGCCCUGCCACCCACUUGA